GAUGAACGCUAGCUACAGGCUUAACACAUGCAAGUCGAGGGGCAGCAUGGUCUUAGCUUGCUAAGGCCGAUGGCGACCGGCGCACGGGUGAGUAACACGUAUCCAACCUGCCGUCUACUCUUGGACAGCCUUCUGAAAGGAAGAUUAAUACAAGAUGGCAUCAUGAGUCCGCAUGUUCACAUGAUUAAAGGUAUUCCGGUAGACGAUGGGGAUGCGUUCCAUUAGAUAGUAGGCGGGGUAACGGCCCACCUAGUCUUCGAUGGAUAGGGGUUCUGAGAGGAAGGUCCCCCACAUUGGAACUGAGACACGGUCCAAACUCCUACGGGAGGCAGCAGUGAGGAAUAUUGGUCAAUGGGCGCAGGCCUGAACCAGCCAAGUAGCGUGAAGGAGGACUGCCCUAUGGGUUGUAAACUUCUUUUAUAAAGGAAUAAAGUCGGGUAUGUAUACCCGUUUGCAUGUACUUUAUGAAUAAGGAUCGGCUAACUCCGUG
rnacentral:rRNA from 1 species